ACGAAAAUCUUGAAAAGGGUAAUUGUCUAAAUGAAUACUAUAUAAAGGGGUCGUAGUGAAGCUUAAGAAGACAACAACUUUUCUCAUUUGUUUCAAAGAUGGGGAAAAUGGCUUCUCUAUUUGCCACUCUUUUAGUAGUUUUAGUGUCACUUAGCAUAGCUUCUGAAAGCUCAGCAAAUUAUCAAUACUCAUCUCCUCCUCCACCAGUGCAUGUCUAUCCAUCACCACCCCAUCACCCUGUAUAUAAGUCUCCACCACCACCUAAGAAGCCCUACCACCCUUCACCAACCCCAUAUCAUCCUGUACCCGUUUAUAAAUCUCCACCCCCACCAACUCCAGUUUACAAGUCGCCACCACCACCCAAGAAGCCACAAUAUCCUCCACACAUCCCGGUUUAUAAGUCGCCACCACCACCAACUCCCGUUUACAAGUCACCACCACCACCCAAGAAGCCACACUACCCUCCACACAUCCCUGUUUAUAAGUCACCACCACCGCCCAAGAAGCCAUACUAUCCUCCACAUACUCCAGUUUACAAGUCGCCACCACCACCAACUCCGGUUUACAAGUCACCACCGCCACCCAAGAAACCAUACUAUCCUCCACACAUCCCUGUUUACAAAUCUCCACCACCACCUACUCCAGUUUACAAGUCGCCACCACCACCCAAGAAGCCAUACUACCCUCCACACACCCCGGUUUAUAAGUCUCCACCACCACCAACUCCUGUUUACAAGUCACCACCACCACCCAAGAAGCCAUACUAUCCUCCACACACACCAGUUUACAAGUCGCCACCACCACCUACUCCCGUUUACAAGUCACCACCACCACCAACACCCGUUUACAAGUCACCACCACCACCUAAGAAGCCACACCAUCCUUCACCAACCCCAUAUCAUCCUGCACCAGUUUACAAGUCCCCACCACCACCUAAGAAGCCAGACCACCCUUCACCAACACCGUAUCAUCCUGCACCAGUUUACAAAUCCCCACCGCCACCUACUCCAGUUUACAAGUCACCACCACCUUCAGUGAAGCCAUACCAUCCUUCACCAACACCAUAUCAUCCUGCACCAGUUUAUAAGCCUCCACCACCACCAACUCCUGUCUACAAGUCACCUCCACCACCAACUCCAGUCUACAAGUCUCUACCACCGCACCACCCCUAUCUUUACACUUCUCCUCCUCCUCCCUACCAUUACUAAGAAGUGUCAUCGCAAAGUUGAAGGUAAUUAAGCCAAAUUAAUUAAGACAUUUUCAAAAUGAUAUGUCAAGAAUUCAAAGUAAAUUGCAUAUAUAACUGCGUUCAUGCAAAACCUUAAUAUAAUAGAAAGAACUGCUCUCUCUGCUUCUUAUUUUCUUAGCUUCAUUUAUCAGUUACUAGCUGUUCAGAAUUUUCAGUAUCUUUUGAUAUUACUAAGAACCUAAUCACACAAUGUAUAUUCUUAUGCAGGA
rnacentral:lncRNA from 1 species